rnacentral:rRNA from 1 species
CCUACGGGGUGCAGCAGUGAGGAAUAUUGGUCAAUGGGCGGAAGCCUGAACCAGCCAAGUCGCGUGAGGGAAUAAGGCCCUACGGGUCGUAAACCUCUUUUGCCGGGGAGCAAGGGCCGGGACGCGUCCCGGCCCGGAGAGUACCCGGAGAAAACGCAUCGGCUAACUCCGUGCCAGCAGCCGCGGUAAUACGGAGGAUGCGAGCGUUAUCCGGAUUUACUGGGUUAAAGGGGUGCGUAGGCGGAAUAUCAAGGCAGCGGUAAAAAUUCGGGGCUCAACCCCGUCGUGCCGUUGAAAAUGAUGUUCUUGAGUGGGCGAGAAGUAUGCGGAAUGCGUGGUGUAGCGGUGAAAUGCAUAGAUAUCACGCAGAACUCCGAUUGCGAAGGCAGCAUACCGGCGCCCAACUGACGCUGAAGCACGAAAGCGUGGGUAUCGAACAGGAUUAGAUACCCGAGUAGUC